ACGCUCUACACCUACGGGAGCAGCAGUGGGGAAUAUUGCACAAUGGGGGAAACCCUGAUGCAGCGACGCCGCGUGAGUGAAGAAGUAUUUCGGUAUGUAAAGCUCUAUCAGCAGGGAAGAGAAUGACGGUACCUGACUAAGAAGCCCCGGCUAACUACGUGUCAGCAGCCGCGGUAAUCUGAGCGGGCUGGCAAGGC
rnacentral:rRNA from 1 species